rnacentral:piRNA from 1 species
UGAAAUAAAGUUUCACUGUUUGUGGCCU